rnacentral:rRNA from 1 species
GACGAACGCUGGCGGCGUGCUUAACACAUGCAUGUCGAACGGAAAGGCCCUGCUUGCAGGGUACUCGAGUGGCGAACGGGUGAGUAACACGUGGGUGAUCUGCCCUGCACUUCGGGAUAAGCCUGGGAAACUGGGUCUAAUACCGGAUAGGAGCCAUUUUUAGUGUGAUGGUUGGAAAGUUUUUUCGGUGUAGGAUGAGCUCGCGGCCUAUCAGCUUGUUGGUGGGGUAAUGGCCUACCAAGGCGGCGACGGGUAGCCGGCCUGAGAGGGUGGACGGCCACAUUGGGACUGAGAUACGGCCCAGACUCCUACGGGAGGCAGCAGUGGGGAAUAUUGCACAAUGGGCGCAAGCCUGAUGCAGCGACGCCGCGUGGGGGAUGACGGCCUUCGGGUUGUAAACUCCUUUCGCUAGGGACGAAGCUUUUUGUGACGGUACCUAGAUAAGAAGCACCGGCUAACUACGUG